GACGGUACCUGAAGAAAAAGCAUCGGCUAACUCCGUGCCAGCAGCCGCGGUAAUACGGAGGAUGCAAGCGUUAUCCGGAAUCAUUGGGCGUAAAGGGUCCGCAGGUGGCCAAUCAAGUCGGCUGUUAAAGACCGGGGCUUAACUCCGGGCAGGCAGUGGAAACUGAUUAGCUAGAGUACGGUAGGGGUAGAGGGGAUUCCCAGUGUAGCGGUGAAAUGCGUAGAUAUUGGGAAGAACACCGGUGGCGAAAGCGCUCUACUAGGCCGAAACUGACACUGAGGGACGAAAGCUAGGGUAGCGAAAGGGAUUAGAUACCCCUGUAGUCUUAGCUGUAAACGAUGGAUACUAGGUGUAGCUCGUAUCGACCCCAGCUGUGCCAAAGUUAACGCGAUAAGUAUCCCGCCUGGGGAGUACGCACGCAAGUGUGAAACUCAAAGGAAUUGACGGGGGCCCGCACAAGCGGUGGAGUAUGUGGUUUAAUUCGAUGCAACGCGAAGAACCUUACCAGGGCUUGACAUGUCGCGAAUCUAGCGGAAACGUUAGAGUGCCUUAGGGAAUGCGAACACAGGUGGUGCAUGGCUGUCGUCAGCUCGUGUCGUGAGAUGUUGGGUUAAGUCCCGCAACGAGCGCAACCCUCGUCCUUAGUUGCCAAUAUUAAGUUAGGCACUCUAGGGAUACUGCCGGGGACAACUCGGAGGAAGGUGGGGAUGACGUCAAGUCAGCAUGCCCCUUACGUCCUGGGCGACACACGUACUACAAUGGUUGGGACAAAGGGCAGCAAGCUCGCGAGAGUAAGCGAAUCUCAUCAAACCCAGCCACAGUUCAGAUUGCAGGCUGCAACUCGCCUGCAUGAAGUAGGAAUCGCUAGUAAUCGCAGGUCAGCAUACUGCGGUGAAUUCGUUCCCGGGCCUUGUACACACCGCCCGUCACACCAUGGAAGCUGGCUACGCCCGAAGUCGUUACCCUAACCCUAAGGGGAGGGGGAUGCCGAAGGUAGAGCUAGUGACUGGGGUGAAGUCGUAACAAGGUAGCCGUACCUGAAGGUGUGGCUGGAUCACCUCCUUU
rnacentral:rRNA from 1 species